rnacentral:lncRNA from 1 species
AUUUGUAUAUAAAAUCAAACAAAUAUUAAAUACAUAUUAUUCGUGUCUUUCUUAAUACAAAAUCCUAAAAUUAAAAACAACCCAUACCAUUUUACAAAACAAUGCAUAACAAAAUUAAUAUUAUAUUUGAUCGGGUCCAAAUUUCAACUAAUCAAAUAUUUACCAUCCGAUCUGGCCGCUCAUACCCACUAAUAUCCAAUUGAAUGACCCAUGAAUAUCCGUAAUUCGAAGAAAACGAUUGUCCACCUCUACUAACAUGAUUCAAUUUUAAGAAUUAAGGGAAUAAAACCGUGUUUAAAAAAAAUUAAAGAAUGAAGUUAGACAUAGAUACAAAAUAAGAAAAAAAGAGUAUUAAAACCUUAAAACUAGUUUGAACAUUAAACAACUCGUAAACGAUUGUCCACCUCUACUAACAUGAUUCAAUUUUAAGAAUUAAGGGAAUAAAACCGUGUUUAAAAAAAUUAAAGAAAGAAGUUAGACAUCGAUACAAAAUAAGAAAAAAAGAGUAUUAAAACCUUAAAACUAGUUUGAACACUAAACAAAAUAAACUAUGUAAACAUGAUUAAAGUCCAAUUUGUGUCAUUAGUACAAUAAAAUAAAUAGGUAAAAUACUUUUUUUUUAAUCUUUUAACUAUAUACGAGUUCAAAUUAAUUCCUUAAUAUUUUUGUUUUAAUAGUUAAAUGAUUAGUUUCACAUUUUUUGUUUGUUUUAAAAGCUAAAUGAUUAAUCAAGAAAAAAUAAUUAAAGGACUAAGUAGGAUACUUAAGUGAAAAAAGAAGUUCUUUUUGAGACUUUUUUCCCAUAUGCCCCAAAAUUGAAAAUAAAUUUCCACUUUGUCCCACACUGAAUUUUUUUUCCCAAUCUGCCCCCUUUUUCUUAUUGGGCUCGUCCAUCCAUUGGACGAGGGCAUGAAGGCCCAUUGCGCCUUGCGUUGGCUCGACCAAUCAAUGGCCGAG